AGAGUUCAAGAGUACGUGAAACUGUUUAGUGGUAAACGGAGGGGUUCUCGAAGUUUGAGUUGGAGGUUCAACCUACUGGCAGAGGGUUUUGUCAAUUGAGUUCUGCAAAGUCUCUUUUGGCUUAUCACUGAAGUCAAUGGGUGCAUUUCUCCAACUCUCAACGCUACGAACUGUUAGAACUGUUGCAGACACUUUAAGUGGAAGGUAACUUUGGUUGCUGGAGCUUUUUGUUGAGUAAUGGGUUUGACAGGGAUUUGAGUGGUCUCCUCAGAGUUCCUUUGAACGGGCCGCAUAUCUGUAGCGAGUAGGUCGGUGGCCCCUCCGACCCGUCUUGAAACACGGACCA
rnacentral:rRNA from 1 species